rnacentral:hammerhead_ribozyme from 1 species
GCACUGCUGAAGAGUCCCACAAUAGGACGAAACGGCCGUCCAGUUC